UUAUUUAAUAAUAUUCUGUGAUAGGGAGUUCUUGAAAAGAUUUCUGAGACAGGGCGUUUUCGAAGUGGCUGCCGAGAUAGGUCGAUCUUCCACUCAGGUGUCGAUAUGUA